CAGUACUUUGAUAAAAAUCAUGUAUUUUUCUUAAGGAAUGCAUAAGUCUUAUAUAUAAUAUAUAAUUAAAAUAAUCUACGAGAUAAUUGAGUUCCAGUGUGCGACAAUUGCAAAACAGUAAAGUGGAAGUGGAGCAGAGUUUGAUGGCAUGCGGUCAUCAUAUUAUAUUGUGAAAGUAAAAAGCUCUUCAUAUAUAGAAGAAACAAUGGUUAUCUCACACAAUUGUAAGCUUGUAAGCUAUAUAUAUAAUUGUAAGCUUGUAAGCUAUAUAUAGUUUAGAGUUAUACUAUAUAGAAACAUUCACAGAAAUAGCCCAUGAUUGUGAGGGUCAUAACUCUCCUCGGGACAAUAUAUCCUGCAUGUACAAUACAUGCAUUAAAUUAGUGAUACAAUAUUAUCAUAAAUUCAUUAGCAUAAAUUGUUCCAUUUAAUGUGUUCAUAAAAUCCUUUAGCUUAGGAAGUUCUCCACGUCAAUUGGUAAAGUACCGGUAUGGCAAUUAUUGGCCAAAAGAACAUGUUCUAAAUUACUAAAACAUGUAAAUGUUCUUACUAUGACCUGUUGGCCCCUUUUGGGUACUGCAUGUUAAAACGUAGUACCCUGCAAGCAAACGUGCCACUGCGUUGGUAAUAUUGCACGGAUCGUAUCUGAAUUUUUUACAACCAUUCCCUCUGCAAUCAAUGAAAUCGAACUUAUCUCUUCCAGAGGUCCAG
rnacentral:lncRNA from 1 species